AACUUUCAACAACGGAUCUCUUGGCUCUCGCAUCGAUGAAGAACGCAGCGAAACGCGAUAAGUAAUGUGAAUUGCAGAAUUCAGUGAAUCAUCGAAUCUUUGAACGCACCUUGCGCCCUUUGGUAUUCCGAAGGGCACGCCUGUUUGAGUGUCG
rnacentral:rRNA from 1 species